rnacentral:lncRNA from 1 species
AGGUUCCACUGAAGUUAAAUAGUUAGAUUCUACUCUAUGUUUUUUAUGUUUUUAGGUUGAAUUGCUCUAUUCUUUGUUAUACUGAAGCUAAACUGCAUCUUUCACACGAUUCAUAGGUAACCAUUGAAAAUUUCUGAUACGGUUUUAAAGAUAUGUGUUAGAUCCACGAACCUAAAAUGUUGAUACUGCAAAGUUACUAUACAUACCUAUUUUUAAGAAGAAAUUCUUCUGUGUGUGGAUGCAACUGUAUGUUAAUCGAUAUUUGUCGGUCGACGAUAAUUUAGUAACAUAUAGUAACAUGUAGUAACAUAUGCACGUGAUUGCGUAUUUUGAUUUAUA